rnacentral:lncRNA from 1 species
CGCGCUGGAGCUGGACUUGGGCUGAUUUUUGCCUUUUGCCUGGGCCAACCCCUGGCGCUGUACAUGCUCUAAUGGGCCCCUGAUUCUACGUUCUUCAAGCAAACGUGGGCUUCUCCGGGCCGACACUCACAAUUUUUUUUUAAUAAUAUCAACUAAAAUUUAUUUAAAAAGGAUAGAAGAAAAAAAGAAGUCGGAUUAACUACAGUAAGG